AAUAGAUACCCGGGUAGUCCACGCCGUAAACGUUGGGCGCUAGAUGUGGGGACCAUUCCACGGUUUCCGUGUCGCAGCUAACGCAUUAAGCGCCCCGCCUGGGGAGUACGGCCGCAAGGCUAAAACUCAAAGGAAUUGACGGGGGCCCGCACAAGCGGCGGAGCAUGCGGAUUAAUUCGAUGCAACGCGAAGAACCUUACCAAGGCUUGACAUAUACGAGAACGCUCUAGAAAUAGAGAACUCUUUGGACACUCGUAUACAGGUGGUGCAUGGUUGUCGUCAGCUCGUGUCGUGAGAUGUUGGGUUAAGUCCCGCAACGAGCGCAACCCUCGUUCUAUGUUGCCAGCGGUUCGGCCGGGGAACUCAUAGGAGACUGCCGGGGUCAACUCGGAGGAAGGUGGGGAUGACGUCAAAUCAUCAUGCCCCUUAUGUCUUGGGCUUCACGCAUGCUACAAUGGCCGGUACAAAGGGCUGCAAUACCGUAAGUGGAGCGAAUCCCGAAAAAGCCGGUCUCAGUUCGGAUUGAGGU
rnacentral:rRNA from 1 species